rnacentral:lncRNA from 1 species
ACCUCUGCCUCUCAAGUGCUGGGAUUAAAGUUGUGUGCCACCACUGGGCUUCUCUUAUUAUUCUUUGGACCUUUUUCCCUCAAAUUUGUUUUUAUCAUUCUCUUAUCAUCCUACACCAGGGAGCUCUGCCUCGAGAAUCAAUAUCAAAGCAAAAAACAGACGAUAAAAAGGAGAUAAAUAUAAGUGGUAUAAGAAAAAAUGAAUUAACAUUUCUCUCCUUUAGAAAAAAUUUAGUGGUUGGGCACAAUGUUGAAGUGAUCAGAUAAAGUGACACAGAUUUUGUUAACACACACACACACACACACACACACACACACACACAGAUCUUAAUAUGCAAGAUGCAAGCUCAGAAUGAAGGCAAUGUGAUAUUGAGUGGUUUAGUGACCUGGGUUCAUGGCAAUCCUUGUAGAGAGGUUGUGUAAUGAGAGGUUUGAAGGUGUGCUUUUGAAGUUGUUUUAUAAACCAUUUUGGGUUUUGUUGUUUUGGUUUUGUUGUUGUUGUUGUUGUUGUUAUAUUUUUGAGGCAGUGUUCCUAGGUUCUUCAGGCAGUCUUCAAAUUCCUAAGGACUUCUCUCCGGCUCCAGCCAUCUGAGCAGUUGGGACUACGGGUGUGCAACAUCAGAAACCGAGAACUAGUUCAAAAGCACGGAAAUAUCUCUGGAGGUAAAUGAAUGUAGUGAUUGUGUUUUUAGCCAUGAACCUUUUAAAUGUUCAUAAAUAGAACUUCUUAUACUAUUUGUACAAA